rnacentral:rRNA from 1 species
CUCAAAGGAAUUGACGGGGCCCGCACAAGCGGUGGAGCAUGUGGUUUAAUUCGAUGCAACGCGAAGAACCUUACCAGGCCUUGACAUCCUCGGAACUUUCCAGAAAUGGAUUGGUGCCUUCGGGAACCGAGAGACAGGUGCUGCAUGGCUGUCGUCAGCUCGUGUCGUGAGAUGUUGGGUUAAGUCCCGUAACGAGCGCAACCCUUGUUACUAGUUGCCAGCGGGUAAAGCCGGGGACUCUAGUAAGACUGCCAGUGAUAAGCUGGAGGAAGGCGGGGAUGACGUCAAGUCCUCAUGGCCCUUAUGGGUAGGGCAACACACGUGCUACAAUGGUUGUCACAGAGGGAAGCGAAGCCGCGAGGUGGAGCGAAACCGGGAAAGGCAAUCGUAGUCCGGAUUGCAGUCUGCAACUCGACUGCAUGAAGCUGGAAUCGCUAGUAAUCGCGGAUCAGCAUGCCGCGGUGAAUACGUUCACAGGCCUU